UGAGACACUCGGCCAGCCCAAGUUUUUAGUUGUUUAUGGAGAGCUCCUGGCUCCCUGGAGCGUAGCUGGUUUUCCCCAUUCCCCAUCCAGGGACCUCCUCUGGCUCCAGCUCUGCAUGCAGGCUGAGUGAGAGAAGGCACCAGUGCUGCCACCACUGCUGUCACCUGGUCUCUGAUCCAACAACACCCAGGCUCAGCAUAGUGAGAUCUCCAGGGGGAGCAUUUGAGCCUCUUCCAGGGCUCAAGAGAGUUGAUGGAGAAGGAAUCAAGGGGCUGGAGAUUUCCACAAUAACCAACAUUUACUUGCAUUUACUCCAAGGACUGGACCUGUAUUAACUCAUGCAGCCUUCACAGCAGUCCUGUAAGGUGUCCCUAUUUUACAAAUGAGGAAACUGAAGCCUCAAAAACACACAUCUACACCGAGAGUCCACUCAACAGACUGAGUACACCUCAAACGGACGAGGCACAAAGACUUCACUUUGAGGGAACAUAUAACAAGCUGGAUGGAAGACAAACCUGAGUCAGACAGUACACAUGGACACCCCUGGAUUAAAGAUGCUCCUGGAUGCACAGCUUCAGGGAGGACACACACAACUCCCUGACACCCCCAACACACCUUUGGUGGGGAUUGCAUAGUCCCACUUACACAUUACUUCCCCUAAACUGUCGGGGUCCUGAACCCAGGGACAAUGGAUGUACAAUCCCCUGAAACCAACUGCCUACAUCGACCUGUGUGUGCACGUGUGUAUUUGCUGAGAAGAGGGUCUAUCAGGGCUCAUCACAAAGCAGGUCUGUAAAGCCCCCCUCCCCCGGUUAAGAACCACUGCCCUAUGUCUUUCAUCACAGUUGGCUUUACAAGAUCAUAGAUCCUGUCCAUAUGUAUUAUCUUAAAAAUGGUUGGAAAGGCACCACUUUUGGAGAAUGUGCUUCGGAGGAGGUAGCACGGCUUCCCUUGUUCUUCUCCACCUUCCACUUAGCCUGAGACCUCUCUUGAGACCCACAGAAAAGGCGGCCCUCCCUUCAGGCAGCUGGCCUGGAGCAUGUUGGGCUAAAGAAAGAAAGUUACACAGAAAACUGGUGAUUUGCUCAACUCCAGAGGGCACCCUGGUAGAGGAGAACUGUCUCAGGAGAAAAGACGAAAAGAGGAGGCCUUGGGUGGAGACUGGGCUUCGUUCCCUUAUGUUGCAGGGGCGGGAUGUCCUCAAGAAUCUUGGCAGAAUCAGGAGGAGACAAUAACCUCAGCCUGACUCGCGUGGAAUCUCCAACUGCAGGUGGAGCCGCUGCAGUCAGGAAUCCGAGAAUAUUGUCCCAGGAGGAAAGGCUGAGCCUAAUGCUGAGAAAAGAGUCUGGGAGGCCAAAGAGAGACGAAGGGUAUUAACUCCAAGGAAAAUAAUUUUUAUAUUUCGAGGGUGCUGGUGACUUCAUCUUUUCAUAUUUGCUGCCUGCAGCAGCUCAGGACUCCCCCAAAAUGCAAAACCUUCCUUGUCCGUUUUGUCUCUUCCACUAUUGGUUCAGAUUUCAACCCUCUGCUUUUAGAUGAAGUGCUCCAACUCAAGGACAGGCCCUCUCUGAAUGCUGCAGGAUAUAUAAGAUUUUAUUUUUCCUUUUGAAUUUUUUCCCUUUCUGUCAAAGAGAGACAAAUGUACAAAUGUCAGCAGCCUGAAGGAUUGGAAUGGAAUCUGUGCCAGUUGGGCAGAGUCCAGGAUGUUCCCCUUUUUAAUUAAGUGCAGACUUGAAUUAUGAAGGCCACAGCUCCCACUGGGCGGGGCUCUGCCACGGGAAGGUGAUUUCUCUCGUUAAAGAUUAAAUGCCGUUUAUUCCACUUAGUCUCUCCUCAGUUCUAUGAGAGUGUCUAUAUUUGCUCUUGCCAUCACGAAUAAUGGGCAAUCGAGUUGAUGCCCCAGCUCAUUAGGGCAACAGCAGCAGUGAACCCCAUAUCUGGCAGACACCUGGACGCUUGACUCAUCCUGGACUCUUUGGGGGGAAUGGUGGCACAGGUGGGGAUUCCUGAAAAUUUUCCCCCCAAACAGAAGCUCUUAACCCCCUCUGUCCCUGUCUGUCCCCCACCCCACCCCACCCCUCCCCUGACUGCCCCUGAGGCUCUCUAGGGCUUCCCUGAGAUUGGGGGGAGCUGCUGCUAUAGAUUUAUUUCUCCUGUUGAUUCCCAUCUAUCCUGCUGGUCACCCCAGCCCAGAUUUUAUCUGGUAAUUUACAGCCAAAGUUGUUAAUUUACGAUCUGGGGCCAUGGAGCCCUGAGCCCAGGAAAUGACGUUCCUCCUGGGUGAGGGCACUGCUGUCUUCUCACUCCAAGGGGAUGGAACGCCUCUGUGGACAAGAGCAUGGCAUAAAGGAAGGACGUUGGGGGGACGCAUGCUGAGAGGACACAAUACCUAACCAGAUGGGGACUAGUUCUGGAUCCCAAUUGGAGUUUCCAAAAUAUGGUGUUUGCAGUUAUGCUUUACACUUUAUUGUUUUCCUAAGCCUUUUCAGACAAUGUUAUCUUACUAUAUUUUCCCAGUAUUCCUCCAAGUAGGUUCUUUUAGUUUCAUUUUGUAGUUGAGCACUCUAGAGUUCGGAGAGCAAUUUGCCUUAUGUCACCCAGGGGUGGGGAAGUGGGAGAGGGGACUAAACACCUACCUCCUGAUUCUCUUCCCAGAGAAUCUAGCUCCAGGGGUAUCUGCUUAUGAGAGCCAAGCAGAGACAAAACAAGUGUUCUUACCAGCCUGAUCCCUAGUCCUCUGAUAUCCUGACCCCACCUGACCCUCCCCUCCCUGACAUCUCCUUUUUAAUGUUCUUUUUUUCCCCCCUACAAGUCCCACUUUCCUGUUAAGAAAUACCUGUUAGGGUCUUGUUAAUUGUGUGUCUUCUUAGGGGGUGGUUCAGCAUUUUCUUAAAUUGCACAUCAGACAUGAAUGUCUCCCACAAAGGGAAAACUGAUGGGGGGCGGGGAGCGUGUUCUUCCCUAGAAAUUGAGAA